GGGCGCUUAGCUCAGUCGGUAGAGCAUCUGACUUUUAAUCAGAGGGUCACAGGUCCGAAUCCUGUAGCGCCUACCA
rnacentral:tRNA from 1 species